UAGGGAAUCUUCGGCAAUGGGGGGAACCCUGACCGAGCAACGCCGCGUGAGUGAAGAAGGUUUUCGGAUCGUAAAGCUCUGUUGUUAAGGAAGAACGAGUGUGAGAAUGGAAAGUUCAUACUGUGACAGUACUAUACGAAUAAGGACCGGCUAAUUACGUGCCAGCAGCCGCGGUAAUACGUAAGGUCCGAGCGUUGUCCGGAAUCAUUGGGCGUAAAGGGUACGUAGGCGGGUAAGCAAGUUAGAAGUGAAAUCCUAUAGCUCAACUAUAGUACGCUUUUAAAACUGCUCAUCUUGAGGUAUGGAAGGGAAAGUGGAAUUCCUAGUGUAGCGGUGAAAUGCGCAGAUAUUAGGAGGAAUACCGGUGGCGAAGGCGACUUUCUGGCCAUAACCUGACGCUGAGGUACGAAAGCGUGGGUAGCAAACAGG
rnacentral:rRNA from 1 species